GAUGAACGCUAGCGGGAGGCUUAACACAUGCAAGUCGAGCGGUAGGGCAGCAAUGCCUGAGAGCGGCGCACGGGUGCGUAACGCGUAUGCAACCUGCCUUAUACAGGGGAAUAGCCCAUGGAAACGUGGAUUAAUGUCCCAUAGGAUUACGGAUUCGCAUGGAUUUGUGAUUAAAACUGAGGUGGUAUAAGAUGGGCAUGCGUCUGAUUAGGUAGUUGGUAGGGUAAUGGCCUACCAAGCCGACGAUCAGUAGGGGUUCUGAGAGGAUUACCCCCCACACUGGGACUGAGACACGGACCAGACUCCUACGGGAGGCAGCAGUGAGGAAUAUUGGUCAAUGGCCGGAAGGCUGAACCAGCCAUCCCGCGUGCAGGAUGACGGCCCUAUGGGUUGUAAACUGCUUUUGUACCUGAAGAAACCUGUUUACGAGUAGACAGUUGCCGGUAAGGUAUGAAUAAGCAUCGGCUAACUCCGUGCCAGCAGCCGCCGUAAUAC
rnacentral:rRNA from 1 species